rnacentral:rRNA from 1 species
UACCUUUUGUAUAAUGGGUCAGCGACUUAUAUUCUGUAGCAAGGUUAACCGAAUAGGGGAGCCGAAGGGAAACCGAGUCUUAACUGGGCGUUAAGUUGCAGGGUAUAGACCCGAAACCCGGUGAUCUAGCCAUGGGCAGGUUGAAGGUUGGGUAACACUAACUGGAGGACCGAACCGACUAAUGUUGAAAAAUUAGCGGAUGACUUGUGGCUGGGGGUGAAAGGCCAAUCAAACCGGGAGAUAGCUGGUUCUCCCCGAAAGCUAUUUAGGUAGCGCCUCGUGAAUUCAUCUCCGGGGGUAGAGCACUGUUUCGGCAAGGGGGUCAUCCCGACUUACCAACCCGAUGCAAACUGCGAAUACCGGAGAAUGUUAUCACGGGAGACACACGGCGGGUGCUAACGUCCGUCGUGAAGAGGGAAACAACCCAGACCGCCAGCUAAGGUCCCAAAGUCAUGGUUAAGUGGGAAACGAUGUGGGAAGGCCCAGACAGCCAGGAUGUUGGCUUAGAAGCAGCCAUCAUUUAAAGAAAGCGUAAUAGCUCACUGGUCGAGUCGGCCUGCGCGGAAGAUGUAACGGGGCUAAACCAUGCACCGAAGCUGCGGCAGCGACACUAUGUGUUGUUGGGUAGGGGAGCGUUCUGUAAGCCUGUGAAGGUGUACUGUGAGGUAUGCUGGAGGUAUCAGAAGUGCGAAUGCUGACAUAAGUAACGAUAAAGCGGGUGAAAAGCCCGCUCGCCGGAAGACCAAGGGUUCCUGUCCAACGUUAAUCGGGGCAGGGUGAGUCGACCCCUAAGGCGAGGCCGAAAGGCGUAGUCGAUGGGAAACAGGUUAAUAUUCCUGUACUUGGUGUUACUGCGAAGGGGGGACGGAGAAGGCUAUGUUGGCCGGGCGACGGUUGUCCCGGUUUAAGCGUGUAGGCUGGU